AACGAACGCUGGCGGCAUGCCUAACACAUGCAAGUCGAACGAGACCUUCGGGUCUAGUGGCGCACGGGUGCGUAACGCGUGGGAAUCUGCCCUUGGGUUCGGAAUAACAGUGAGAAAUUACUGCUAAUACCGGAUGAUGUCUUCGGACCAAAGAUUUAUCGCCCAGGGAUGAGCCCGCGUAGGAUUAGCUAGUUGGUGGGGUAAUGGCCUACCAAGGCGACGAUCCUUAGCUGGUCUGAGAGGAGGAUCAGCCACACUGGGACUGAGACACGGCCCAGACUCCUACGGGAGGCAGCAGUGGGGAAUAUUGGACGAGGGGCGCAAGCCUGAUACAGCAAUGCGGCGUGAGUGAUGAAGGGGUUAGGGUUGUAAAGCUGUUUUAAACGGGAUGAUAAUGACAGUACCGGGAGAAUAAGCUCCGGCUAACUACGUG
rnacentral:rRNA from 1 species